rnacentral:rRNA from 1 species
GGAUUAGAUACCCUGGUAGUCCACGCCGUAAACGAUGAGAACUAGUCGUCGGGAGGAAUCGACCACUCGGUGACGCAGCUAACGCAUUAAGUUCUCCGCCUGGGGAGUACGCCGGCAACGGUAAAACUCAAAGGAAUUGACGGGGGCCCGCACAAGCGGUGGAGCAUGUGGUUUAAUUCGAUGCAACGCGAAGAACCUUACCUGGCCUUGACAUCCUCAGAACUUGUUAGAGAUAACUUGGUGCCUUCGGGAAUUGAGUGACAGGUGCUGCAUGGCUGUCGUCAGCUCGUGCCG